rnacentral:rRNA from 1 species
UACGGAAGGCAGCAGUAGGGAAUCUUCCGCAAUGGACGAAAGUCUGACGGAGCAACGCCGCGUGAACGAUGAAGGCUUUCGGGUCGUAAAGUUCUGUUGUUAGGGAAGAACAAGUACCGGAGUAACUGCCGGUACCUUGACGGUACCUAACCAGAAAGCCACGGCUAACUACGUGCCAGCAGCCGCGGUAAUACGUAGGUGGCAAGCGUUGUCCGGAAUUAUUGGGCGUAAAGCGCGCGCAGGCGGUCCUUUUAAGUCUGAUGUGAAAGCCCCACGGCUCAACCGUGGAGGGUCAUUGGAAACUGGGGGACUUGAGUGCAGAAGAGGAGAGUGGAAUUCCACGUGUAGCGGUGAAAUGCGUAGAGAUGUGGAGGAACACCAGUGGCGAAGGCGACUCUCUGGUCUGUAACUGACGCUGAGGCGCGAAAGCGUGGGGAGCGAACAGGGAUUGAUAC